UGCAGGUUCUACAGGAAGCACGGUGUCUUCCGCUUCUGGGGAGGCCUGAGGAAACUUAGAACCAUGGGGAAAAGCAAAGGGAAAGAAGUCCCAUCUCACAUGGCAGCAGCAGGAGCCAGAAAGAGAGAGGGAAUGUGCCACACACCUCUAAACAACCAGACCUCAUGAGAACUCACUAUCCUGACGACACCACCGAGGAGAUAGUGCUAAACCGUGAGAAAACGCCCCCAGGACGCAAUUCCCCCCUCCAGGCCCCACUUCCAGCGCUGGGGAUUACGUUUUGACAUGAGAUUUCUGCAGAGACGCAGAUCCAAACCAUAUCAAAGUGUGAAGUGAAUCUGGUGGACCACUGUGGGCUUUGAAGAUGGAACAGACCACGUGGAGGGCGUGGAGGGUACAGCACUCUCUGUGAACUGAGAGUGGCCCUGGCUGACAGCCGGUGUGGAAAUAAGGACCUCAGAUCACUGGCAAUAAGAAACUGAAUGCCACAAACAACCUGAGUAUGCCUGAAAGUGGAUUCUUCCCCAGAGCCUUCUUCUAGCACGGGGCCCAGUACACACAUCGCUUUCCCCUUGUGAUAACUAAGGAGAGAACCGGAGACCUCCCCACUUCUGGCCGGACCUCAGCAGGUCUCACUUUGUCAUCCAGUCUGGAGUGCAGUGGCAAGAUGUUAGCUCACUGCAGCCUCGAACUCCCGGGUUCAAGCAAUCCUCCUGCCUCAGACCCCCAAGUAGCUGGCACUGCAGGCAUGUGCCACCAUGCCUGGCUCAUUUUUGUAUUUUUUUGUAGAGACGAAGUUUUGCCAUGUUGCCCAGGUUGGUCUCAAAGUCCUGGGCUCAGGUGACCUCCUGCCUCAGCCUCCCAAAGUGGUACAAUUACAGGCGUGAGCCACUGCGCCUGGCCUGAAAGUUGAGCACCAUUUUGAACAUGCUCUCCAUAUUUACACGGAGGUCAUAGUCUUCUUACAACAUGGACUCCAUGGAAAAUAAAAUUCUUAACUGAUUUGCUUCAUAUUUCUCCACAUUUAAUCAUUUUCAUUUGGUUUUGAUAAUUUGGUCUGUGGGAUCACUUAGAGUAGAUUUUACUUCUCUUUUUAUCCAUCUCUUUGUGAUUAUUCCUUCCUGUCUACAAAGUUUCCAUUGCCUCCAUCUGGCCUUCUGUGUCUCCCAGUCCAGAACCACAUCUUACAUUGUGGUUUGGGAAUGUGCUGUGGAGUGCUAUUGGGACAUCAUUGAUCUAUGACAUUGAGCUGGUGGGAAUCUUGGCUCAGCUCCUUGCCACUGGAAUCUCCUGUGUCCUCCUUACCCCCAGACACAUUUUUUAAACUUUUAUUUUAAGUUCAGGGGUACCAGUGUAGGUUUGUUACAUAGGCAAACGUGUGUCAUGG
rnacentral:lncRNA from 1 species